UACAGAGGGUGCGAGCGUUAAUCGGAAUUACUGGGCGUAAAGCGCGCGUAGGCGGCUUUGCAAGUCGGGUGUGAAAUCCCCAGGCUUAACCUGGGAACUGCAUUCGAGACUGCAUUGCUAGAGUAUGGGAGAGGGAAGUGGAAUUUCAGGUGUGAGCGGUGAAAUGCGUAGAUAUCUGAAGGAACAUCAGUGGCGGAAGGCGGGGUCUCUGGGCCGAUACUGACGCUGAGGAGGCGGAAAAGCGUGGGGAGCCGAACAGG
rnacentral:rRNA from 1 species